AGUGAACGCUGGCGGUAGGCCUAACACAUGCAAGUCGAACGGCAGCACAGUAAGAGCUUGCUCUUACGGGUGGCGAGUGGCGGACGGGUGAGGAAUACAUCGGAAUCUACUUUUUCGUGGGGGAUAACGUAGGGAAACUUACGCUAAUACAGCAUACGACCUACGGGUGAAAGCAGGGGAUCUUCGGACCUUGCGCGAUUGAAUGAGCCGAUGUCGGAUUAGCUAGUUGGCGGGGUAAAGGCCCACCAAGGCGACGAUCCGUAGCUGGUCUGAGAGGAUGAUCAGCCACACUGGAACUGAGACACGGUCCAGACGCCUACGGGAGGCAGCAGUGGGGAAUAUUGGACAAUGGGCACAAGCCUGAUCCAGCCAUACCGCGUGGGUGAAGAAGGCCUUCGGGUUGUAAAGCCCUUUUGUUGGGAAAGAAAAGCAGCAGGUUAAUACCCCGCUGUUCUGACGGUACCCAAAGAAUAAGCACCGGCUAACUUCGUG
rnacentral:rRNA from 1 species